rnacentral:rRNA from 1 species
GACGAACCGUCCAAACGUUAUUCGGAAUCACUGGGCUUAAAGAGUUCGUAGGCGGUCUGGUAAGUUGGGUGUGAAAUCCCUCGGCUCAACCGAGGAACUGCGCUUGAAACUACCAGACUCGAGGGAGAUAGAGGAAAGCAGAACUGAUGGUGGAGCGGUGAAAUGCGUUGAUAUCAUCAGGAACACCGGUGGCGAAGGCGGCUUUCUGGGUCUUACCUGACGCUGAGGAACGAAAGCUAGGGGAGCGAACGGG